ACAAGCUAUGAAGGGCACAUGGUGGAUGCCUUGGCAUCAAGAGCCGAUGAAGGACGUAGGAGCCUGCGAUAAGCCCUGGGGAGUUGGCAACCAAGCUGUGAUCCGGGGGUGUCCGAAUGGGGAAACCCAGCUGGAGUCAUGUCCAGUUACCCGCGCCUGAAUAUAUAGGGUGUGUGGAGGGAACGUGGGGAAGUGAAACAUCUCAGUACCCACAGGAAGAGAAAACAAUAGUGAUUCCGAGAGUAGUGGCGAGCGAAAUCGGAUGAGGCCAAACCACGUACAUGUGAUACCCGGCAGGGGUUGUGUAUGUGGGGUUGUGGGAUCGCAUGGGUGGGUCUGCCGGCCUACCGCACAGUAAGAAACUCGUGAUGAAGUUGAAGUCCGCUGGAAAGUGGCGCCGUAGAGGGUGAUAGCCCCGUAAGUGUAAGUCGCGAGCUGUGAUGCGUCAUCCCAAGUAACACGGAACCCCUGAAAUUCCGUGUGAAUCUGGCGGGACCACCCGUUAAGCCUAAAUACUCCUUGAUGACCGAUAGCGGACAAGUACCGUGAGGGAAAGGUGAAAAGUACCCCUGGCGGGGAGUGAAAUAGUACCUGAAACCGUGUGCCUACAAUCCGUCGGAGCCUUGCUCACACUUGUGUGACGGGGUGACGGCGUGCCUUUUGAAGAAUGAGCCUGCGAGUUUGCGUUGUGUUGCGAGGUUAACCCGUGUGGGGAAGCCGUAGCGAAAGCGAGUCCGAAUAGGGCGUCUGAGUAGCACGAUCAAGACCCGAAGCGAAGUGAUCUAUCCAUGGGCAGGUUGAAGCGCGGGUAAGACCGCGUGGAGGACCGAACCCACUUAGGUUGAAAACUGAGGGGAUGACCUGUGGAUAGGGGUGAAAGGCCAAUCAAACUUCGUGAUAGCUGGUUCUCCCCGAAAUGCAUUUAGGUGCAGCGUUGCGUGUUUCUUGCCGGAGGUAGAGCACUGGAUAGCCGAUGGGCCCGACCAGGUUACUGACGUUAACCAAACUCCGAAUGCCGGUAAGUGAGAGCGCAGCAGUGAGACUGCGGGGGAUAAGCUCCGUAGUCGAGAGGGAAACAGCCCAGACCAUCAGCUAAGGCCCCUAAGCGGUGACUAAGUGGAAAAGGAUGUGGAGUCGCACUGACAACCAGGAGGUUGGCUUGGAAGCAGCCACCCUUGAAAGAGUGCGUAAUAGCUCACUGGUCAAGUGAUUCCGCGCCGACAAUGUAGCGGGGCUCAAGUCAUCCGCCGAAGCUAUGGCAUUCAUGCAAGCCCAGCACCCACUCGAUGGGUGUUCAGGUGUGUGGAUGGGUAGGGGAGCGUCGUGUCGCGAGUGAAGCGCCGGAGUGAUCCAGGUGUGGAUGCGACACGAGUGAGAAUGCAGGCAUGAGUAGCGAAUCACGUGUGAGAAACACGUGCGCCGAAUGAUCAAGGGUUCCAGGGUCAAGCUAAUCUGCCCUGGGUAAGUCGGGACCUAAGGCGAGGCCGACAGGCGUAGUCGAUGGACAACGGGUUGAUAUUCCCGUACCGGCAAAGUAGCGCCCAUGACGAACCUGGUGAUGCUAACCAUCUGAAACUCAAGCGACCGGACCCUUCGGGGCGAGGCGCUUGAGCGUAGCGUGGGACCCGAACUGGUAGUAGUCAAGCGAUGGGGUGACGCAGGAAGGUAGUCCAACCGUACCGAUGGUUGUGUACGGCUAAGCAUGUAGGGCGAGAUCUAGGCAAAUCCGGAUCUCUGACUUUGAUGUCGGGCUUGAGAUGUGAUGGGGACCCCGUUGGGGGGAAGUGGAUGAUCCUAUGCUGUCGAGAAAAACCUCUAGCGAGCUAUGCGCCGCCCGUACCCCAAACCGACUCAGGUGAUCAGGUAGAGAAUACUAAGGCGAUCGAGCGAACCACGGUUAAGGAACUCGGCAAAAUGCCCCCGUAACUUCGGGAGAAGGGGGGCCCGGAACGUGAACACCCUUGCGGUGGGAGCGGGAAGGGCCGCAGAGACCAGGCCCAAGCGACUGUUUACUAAAAACACAGGUCCGUGCGAAGUUGUAAGACGAUGUAUACGGACUGACUCCUGCCCGGUGCUGGAAGGUUAAGAGGACCUGUUAGGUAGCAAUACCGAAGCGGAGAAUUUAAGCCCCAGUAAACGGCGGUGGUAACUAUAACCAUCCUAAGGUAGCGAAAUUCCUUGUCGGGUAAGUUCCGACCUGCACGAAUG
rnacentral:rRNA from 1 species